UGUCUUUCAUGUCGCUGUCACCUCUCUUUCAGGUCUCCUGACUUCCCACCAUGUGAUGCAAUGAUCAUCUUGCUGGAUUUCUGUGAUGAGAGAGGGAUGCUGUGGUAUAGAAUAAACAUGGAAAUGGGUCUUGGGAAAUUC
ensembl:lncRNA novel transcript